GACGAACGCUGGCGGCGUGCCUAAUACAUGCAAGUAGAACGCUGAAGAGAGGAGCUUGCUCUUCUUGGAUGAGUUGCGAACGGGUGAGUAACGCGUAGGUAACCUGCCUUGUAGCGGGGGAUAACUAUUGGAAACGAUAGCUAAUACCGCAUAACAAUGGAUGACACAUGUCAUUUAUUUGAAAGGGGCAAUUGCUCCACUACAAGAUGGACCUGCGUUGUAUUAGCUAGUAGGUGAGGUAACGGCUCACCUAGGCGACGAUACAUAGCCGACCUGAGAGGGUGAUCGGCCACACUGGGACUGAGACACGGCCCAGACUCCUACGGGAGGCAGCAGUAGGGAAUCUUCGGCAAUGGGGGCAACCCUGACCGAGCAACGCCGCGUGAGUGAAGAAGGUUUUCGGAUCGUAAAGCUCUGUUGUAAGUCAAGAACGAGUGUGAGAGUGGAAAGUUCACACUGUGACGGUAGCUUACCAGAAAGGGACGGCUAACUACGUGCCAGCAGCCGCGGUAAUACGUAGGUCCCGAGCGUUGUCCGGAUUUAUUGGGCGUAAAGCGAGCGCAGGCGGUUUGAUAAGUCUGAAGUUAAAGGCUGUGGCUCGACCAUAGUUCGCUUUGGAAACUGUCAAACUUGAGUGCAGAAGGGGAGAGUGGAAUUCCAUGUGUAGCGGUGAAAUGCGUAGAUAUAUGGAGGAACACCGGUGGCGAAAGCGGCUCUCUGGUCUGUAACUGACGCUGAGGCUCGAAAGCGUGGGGAGCGAACAGG
rnacentral:rRNA from 1 species